rnacentral:rRNA from 1 species
AACGCCAGCUACAGGCUUAACACAUGCAAGUCGAGGGGCAGCAUUGGAGUAGCAAUACUUCAGAUGGCGACCGGCGCACGGGUGAGUAACACGUAUCCAACCUGCCGCUUACUCGGGGAUAGCCUUUCGAAAGAAAGAUUAAUACCCGAUGGUAUAAAGAGUUCGCAUGUUCUCUUUAUUAAAGAAUUUCGGUAAGCGAUGGGGAUGCGUUCCAUUAGAUUGUUGGCGGGGUAACGGCCCACCAAGUCUACGAUGGAUAGGGGUUCUGAGAGGAAGGUCCCCCACAUUGGAACUGAGACACGGUCCAAACUCCUACGGGAGGCAGCAGUGAGGAAUAUUGGUCAAUGGACGAGAGUCUGAACCAGCCAAGUAGCGUGAAGGAUGACUGCCCUAUGGGUUGUAAACUUCUUUUAUAAGGGAAUAAAGUGAGGGACGUGUCCCUUUUUGUAUGUACCUUAUGAAUAAGGAUCGGCUAACUCCGUGCCAGCAGCCGCGGUAAUACGGAGGAUCCAAGCGUUAUCCGGAUUUAUUGGGUUUAAAGGGAGCGUAGGUUGACAUAUAAGUCAGCUGUGAAAGUUUACGGCUCAACCGUGAAAUUGCAGUUGAUACUGUAUGUCUUGAGUGUACAAGAGGUGGGCGGAAUUCGUGGUGUAGCGGUGAAAUGCUUAGAUAUCACGAAGAACUCCGAUUG